UACAGAGGGUGCGAGCGUUGUUCGGAAUCACUGGGCAUAAAGCGCACGUAGGCGGCACCGCAAGUGUGGGGUGAAAUCCCACGGCUUACCCGUGGAACUGCCUGGCAGACUGCGGUGCUAGAGGUUGGUAGGGGAGAGCGGAACUCUUGGUGGAGCGGUGAAAUGCGUAGAUAUCAAGAGGAACACCGGUGGCGAAGGCGGCUCUCUGGUCCAAUCCUGACGCUGAGGUGCGAAAGCUAGGGGAGCAAACGGG
rnacentral:rRNA from 1 species